CCUACGGGUGGCUGCAGUGAGGAAUAUUCGUCAAUGGGCGAGAGCCUGAACGAGCCAAGUCGCGUGAAGGAUGAAGGAUCUAGGGUUUGUAAACUUCUUUUAUAUGGGAAUAAAGUGAGGAACGUGUUCCUUUUUGUAUGUACCAUAUGAAUAAGCAUCGGCUAACUCCGUGACAGCAGCCGCGGUAAUACGGAGGAGGCGAGCGUUGCCCGGAUUUAUUGGGUUUAAAGGGUGCGUAGGUGGUUCCUUAAGUCAGAGGUGAAAGUUUGCGGCUCAACCGUGAAAUUGCCGUUGAAACUGGGUGACUUGAGUAUAGUAGAGGUGAGCGGAAUGCGAGGUGUAGCGGUGAAAUGCAUAGAUAUCACGCAGAACACCGGUUGCGAAGGUAGCUUACUAAUCUGUAACUGACGCUGAGGCACGAAAGCGUGGGGAUCAAACAGGAUUAGAUACCCUAGUAGUC
rnacentral:rRNA from 1 species